AAUGGAGGAAACUCUGAUGCAGCGAUGCCGCGUGAGUGAAGAAGGCCUUUGGGUUGUAAAGCUCUUUCGUCGGGGAAGAAAAUGACUGUACCCGAAUAAGAAGGUCCGGCUAACUUCGUGCCAGCAGCCGCGGUAAUACGAAGGGACCUAGCGUAGUUCGGAAUUACUGGGCUUAAAGAGUUCGUAGGUGGUUGAAAAAGUUAGUGGUGAAAUCCCAGAGCUUAACUCUGGAACAGCCAUUAAAACUUUUCAGCUAGAGUAUGAUAGAGGAAAGCAGAAUUUCUAGUGUAGAGGUGAAAUUCGUAGAUAUUAGAAAGAAUACCAAUUGCGAAGGCAGCUUUCUGGAUCAUUACUGACACUGAGGAACGAAAGCAUGGGUAGCGAAGAGGAUU
rnacentral:rRNA from 1 species